rnacentral:rRNA from 1 species
AUUGAACGCUGGCGGCAUGCUUUACACAUGCAAGUCGAACGGUAACAGGCCGCAAGGUGCUGACGAGUGGCGAACGGGUGAGUAAUGCAUCGGAACGUGCCCAGUCGUGGGGGAUAACUACUCGAAAGAGUAGCUAAUACCGCAUACGAUCUAUGGAUGAAAGCGGGGGACCGUAAGGCCUCGCGCGAUUGGAGCGGCCGAUGUCAGAUUAGGUAGUUGGUGGGGUAAAGGCUCACCAAGCCAACGAUCUGUAGCUGGUCUGAGAGGACGACCAGCCACACUGGGACUGAGACACGGCCCAGACUCCUACGGGAGGCAGCAGUGGGGAAUUUUGGACAAUGGGCGCAAGCCUGAUCCAGCAAUGCUGCGUGCAGGAAGAAGGCCUUCGGGUUGUAAACUGCUUUUGUACGGAACGAAACGGCUCUGGUUAAUACCCGGGGCUAAUGACGGUACCGUAAGAAUAAGCACCGGCUAACUACGUG